AUCUUUUCUCUACCUUUUGGCUAAGAUCAAGUGUUGUAUCUGUUCUUAUCAGUUUAAUAUCUGAUACGUCCCCUAUCUGGGGACCAUAGUGUCACAUGUACAAUAAUCUUUUCAUUUACACCAACUGUACUGACGCUACCGUCUAGUAAUCAGUAGGUUUGCAGUUUGGCUCCUGCUGCAGUUACUUGCACCUUGA